UACGGAGGGGGCUAGCGUUGUUCGGAAUUACUGGGCGUAAAGCGUACGUAGGCGGUGACUCAAGUCAGUGGUGAAAGCCCGGAGCUCAACUCCGGAAUUGCCUUUGAAACUAGGUCACUUGAACGUCGGAGAGGUGAGUGGAAUUCCGAGUGUAGAGGUGAAAUUCGUAGAUAUUCGGAAGAACACCAGUGGCGAAGGCGGCUCACUGGAUGACUGUUGACGCUGAGGUACGAAAGCGUGGGGAGCAAACAGG
rnacentral:rRNA from 1 species